GCUGUUGGGCUGCGGUUCCCGCGCGUCUGGAGUUUAAAGGUCUGUGGCCCCGGCGCAGGGCCGCCCUCCGGGUGCCCCACUCCCAGCACCGGCUCUGCGGGGCCGCAGCCUUCCCACGCGAGUUUUCAGAAUGCGCCCAGAGGGGCUCAGUUUCUUAACCGGCUUCCGUCUGCUCGGCUGUUGACCUCACUGCGAAUUGACCCGCCCUCGCCCCCGACUCCCCCGGCUUAGGUGGGCAUCAGUCCGGACCUUCGUCACCCAGGCCCUUGGUUGUCCAUCUUUGUGAAAUGCACUAGUUAAGUGUUUCCCGAGGUCCCCGUGUGCAGCGCGCGGCGCGAGGGGGCACGAGCUCCGUCUGCUCUUACACGCGGGGCGGUGCCCAAAGUCGGCCCGGGGACCCCCGCCCCCGCCGGCGGUUUCCCGCAGUCCCGCGGCCUCUGCAGCCGUGCGUCUGGACCCGCGUGGAGCUCCGGACUCCCCGCGGGGUCCCUGUAUUCCAGGCUCUGUCUGCCCGCGCCGGCCUCAGGACCCCACCGCGAGCCACAGACGCGGGACAAUCUCGCGAGUCGGAGCCGGGCGGGUCAGCCCCGGGGCCCGCGCGGGCUCUGAAGCUCCGCACAGCAGAUGGGGCGAGCCUCAUGCUCGCUGCGACGGGAAAGAGGUGCCGCCGUCCGUUUCGGUGGUGGCUGUAUUGCCGGAACCUAGCCUGACUCGUGAUAUGCAGAAUAUCUCUAGCAAGAUACACAAGAAAGUGAUACAUCUGCCAAGGAGGAGAAUUAUGUGGCUGGGGAAUGGAAGUGAGAAGAUUUCAAAAGAUACAGCAUAUAACUCUUUGUAUCUUUUGAACUUUGAACCAAGUGAAAGUAUCUUUUCAAUAAAUAAAAUAGUAUAUAGCUAACA